rnacentral:rRNA from 1 species
CGACCUUAUACAUGCAGUCGAGCGAACGGACGAGAAGCUUGCUUCUCUGAUGUUAGCGGCGGACGGGUGAGUAACACGUGGAUAACCUACCUAUAAGACUGGGAUAACUUCGGGAAGAGCUAAUACCGGAUAAUAUUUUGAACCGCAUGGUUCAAAAGUGAAAGACGGUCUUGCUGUCACUUAUAGAUGGAUCCGACCGCGCUGCAUUAGCUAGUUGGUAAGGUAACGGCUUACCAAGGCAACGAUGCAUAGCCGACCUGAGAGGGUGAUCGGCCACACUGGAACUGAGACACGGUCCAGACUCCUACGGGAGGCAGCAGUAGGGAAUCUUCCGCAAUGGGCGAAAGCCUGACACGCCGCGUGAGUGAUGAAGGUCUUCGGAUCGUAAAACUCUGUUAUUAGGGAAGAACAUAUGUGUAAGUAACUGUGCACAUCUUGACGGUACCUAAUCAGAAAGCCACGGCUAACUACGUGCCAGCAGCCGCGGUAAUACGUAGGUGGCAAGCGUUGGAGCAAUCCGGAAUUAUUGGGCGUAAAGCGCGCGUAGGCGGUUUUUUAAGUCUGAUGUGAAAGCCCACGGCUCAACCGUGGAGGGUCAUUGGAAACUGGAAAACUUGAGUGCAGAAGAGGAAAGUGGAAUUCCAUGUGUAGCGGUGAAAUGCGCAGAGAUAUGGAGGAACACCAGUGGCGAAGGCGACUUUCUGGUCUGUAACUGACGCUGAUGUGCGAAAGCGUGGGGAUCAAACAGGAUUAGAUCUGGUAGUCCACGCCGUAAACGAUGAGUGCUAAGUGUUAGGGGUUUCCGCCCCUUAGUGCUGCAGCUAACGCAUUAAACCGCACUCCGCCUGGGGAGUACGACCGCAAGGUUGAAACUCAAAGGAAUUGACGGGGACCCGCACAAGCGGUGAGCAGUUUAAUUCGAAGCAACGCGAGACCUUACCAAUCUGACAUCCUUUGACACUCUAGAGAUAGAGCUCCCUCGGAGGACAAGUGACAGGUGUGCAUGUGUCGUCAGCUCGUGUCGUGAGAUGUUGGUAGUCCCGCCACGAGCGCAAUCCUAGCUAGUGGUGUGCCAUUCAUUAAGGUGGCACUCUAGUUGACUGCCGGUGACAACCGAAGAAGUGGAAUAGCUUCAUACUACUAUGACCCUAUGGAUUGGCCUACACACACCGUGGCGUCUA